AUGGAUAUAAAGUACCGCCAAGUCCUUUGAGUUUUAAGCAGUAGCUAGUAGUUCUCUGGCAAAUAGUUUUGUUAUAAAAUUAUUUAAGUUUAGGGCUAA
rnacentral:rRNA from 1 species